rnacentral:rRNA from 1 species
AGCGGCGGACGGGUGAGUAACACGUGAGUAACCUGCCUUAGACAUUGGGAUAGCCUCGGGAAACCGGGAUUAAUACCAAAUAAAAUCAUAAUGACACAUGUCAUAACGAUCAAAACUCCGGUGGUCUAAGAUGGACUCGCGUCCCAUUAGCUAGUUGGUAGAGUAAAAGCCUACCAAGGCGACGAUGGGUAGCCGGCCUGAGAGGGUGAACGGCCACAUUGGAACUGAGAUACGGCCCAG